CAGUAGCACGGUAAUACGUAGGGUGCGAGCGUUAAUCGGAAUUACUGGGCGUAAAGCGUGCGCAGGCGGUUAUGUAAGACAGUUGUGAAAUCCCCGGGCUCAACCUGGGAACUGCAUCUGUGACUGCAUAGCCAGAGUACGGUAGAGGGGGAUGGAAUUCCGCGUGUAGCAGUGAAAUGCGUAGAUAUGCGGAGGAACACCGAUGGCGAAGGCAAUCCCCUGGACCUGUACUGACGCUCAUGCACGAAAGCGUGGGGAGCAAACAGGAUUAGAUACCCCUGUAGUCCCUGUCUCUUAUACC
rnacentral:rRNA from 1 species